UGGUGGAGCCAACAUGGGUGUAGUUCUCCAAAUUUACAAAAGUUGAUCAUUCAGAUCUUAAACCUAACCACUUCCUCAUCCGGUUGUCAGCGCAAUUGGAGUGCUUUUGAAGGGAUUCAUACAAAGAGAAGGAACAAGCUUGAAU